rnacentral:pre_miRNA from 1 species
AAAAAAACAAACCCUGAUUUCCGUGCCCAACGUUUGACCGUCCGUCUUAUUUGAAAAAUUAUGAAAAAAAUUAAAAGACAAGUCACGCACAAAGUAUUAAUCAUGUUUUAUCAUCUAACUACAAUAAAAAUAUGAAUUAUAAAAAAAUUUCAUAUAAGACGGACAGUCAAAGUUGGACACGAAAACCUAGGAUUUGCCUUUUU